ACACACUGGCUGCAAUACUAGGCUCAAAUGUUUGCAGAAAAACUCCAUUCAUGUGCUGACCCCUGUGAUUUCCCCAAAUGUGGGAAACUCAACCGCAUAAUUUGUGGUAGUUGGGGUCUGCGUUCGCGCUAUCCCAUU
rnacentral:snRNA from 1 species